rnacentral:tRNA from 1 species
GCCUCGGUAGCGUUGUGGUCAAGACGCUCGCCUGGUAAACAGGAGGGCGUGGGUUCGAUCCCAGCCGAGGCA